AGUGUAUAACAGCCUGUUCUAUCGCUGUGUGUAUCCAUUACUAACGUUCCCUGGUGACUGGUGCUAGUAAAAACCCAUAACAGGGCCAUGUGUUGUUCCCCAGCCUUUGCUGCUUGCGUAUGUUCAGAUGACGCAAGGAGUAUAUACUGCUGCUCAGCUCAUGUUGUACAUGUCUCCUUGAUGUUUGUAGGAGCUGGAAGGAACUUCUCAAGACAGAGAUGCUGUAACAGUUUUUUUUAGUGAGGGUGUUGAGAGCCUUUGAACCAAACUGUAAACCAUGUAUAUGGUUUGGAAACCACUUGAAGGCAGGGGAUGUGGCAGCACCCCAAUUUCUAACAUUUAUAUCUUGAGGUCCUCUCCAGGCCUACGUUUAUAUGAUUCUGUGAUGCACUGAUGACCCCAUACCUAUCCUGAAUUACCCUUUCGUGCAUGCGUGACUGCAUGUGGGAGGAAAGUUAUUUGUGUUUGGUGCAUGGCUAAAUCUUAAAUCGCCUUUAGGUGGCUUUAUGCAGCACGCUUUUGACUGCCUAACCCAUGAAAAGAAGAACGGUGGUUAAAGUAGAGCAAUGGAGGCUAGGGAGUUCACACAAUCGGUUAGCCUUUGCCAACUGGGGGGAGGGCGGCGUUAUGAAGGAUUUUUCUUUUUAAUUAGUCUAUUGUCUGUCUUGGCUUUGUUCUUUCUGUUUCAUUCUGUUGAAUUGCUUUAUUUAUCUUUCCCUCUGUCUUUUUCAGUGUCUCUUUUCUUUCAGUCUAUGGUUCUUGGAAGUUUUUCAAGUGUAUUGUUAAGAUUGUGUAUCCAAACAGCUAAAGCUAUGCCUCUGGUUUAGGGGACAGCUUGUCAGAGAUUAAUUUCAAUUGCCACUGUGAUUAAGCUUUCUUUUCUUUGUAUUUGCCAUUUUUUCUAGGUACACAGCACAUGUUAUCCCAAAGACAUUUCUUCUAUCCUGGACAUAAAUGCUUACCUGCAGUGUAUGAAGUUUCUAAUAAAUUUCAGUUAUAUGGACUGAGGUUUUGCAGUUUUAUCAGGCAUGACAUUCUUCCAGGCUGUUGUCUGCUGCAGAUCUGAAUUAUAGUCAGAUAAAUUCUGCUGUCUUUGUGGCAUGCUAUGAUAAUGAGGUCAUGUCUACACUACACAAUUAAAUCGACUUAAGUUAGGUUGACCUACAGCCACCGCAGUAAUUAAAUCAGCUGUUCGCGUACACACUACCCUCCUUCCAUCAGCAGUGCGCAUCUUCACCAGGAGCACUUGCACCGACUUAAGUGGGGCAUUGUAGGGGGCUGCCCACUGGAGUCCCGCCACCCCUGGGUGGACUGCUGGCAGUGGGGCUCUGUCUGUCAGUUCUGGAGCGGCAACUGGUGAUGUAAGCCAUGCAGUAUCUACAUAGAUACUGCAUCCACCUAACUACAUCAACUUAAGUGCUUUGCCUUUUGCUUAGGUGGAGUUAAGUCAGUGUAGUGGGCAACUUACAUCAGCGGGAGGGACAUUUUAGUUUAGGUGCUUAGAGAGUAAGGUCAAAGUAAGCUGCCUUACGUCGACCUAACUCAGUAGUGUAGACGAAGCCUGAGUUUCUUUCUUUGUAAAUGUUCUUGUGAGAAUGAAAGAUUGACCAAGCUCAUUUGUGGUCAGUGUUUAAGUAGAAUCUACCCUCUGCUAACAGGAAAUAGCCAGAAAAGUUUCAAUAUGUUUCUGUGUGGCAUAAGGAUUCAAGGAGCGCCAUUUGGUCACAGAUUGUUGCAGUGUUUGCCUAUUCCAAAUGGAGAUUUCAAGGUUUUUUCCUCACUCUCAAGCUGCAACACUGAUCCCUUUACAUCCUGCACUUCUGUCUUGUUCCUUAACCUCUGUAAGGCACAGGCUUGGAACAAUAAUUCUUUCUGUUUGUCAUUCAUACUUUUGAAGGAAAAAAGUAAUGGAAAUGUAUCCCAUUUAUUUACACUCAAAAUGUAGUAUCUGAUUCAGCAUUGGCCUGCUAAACCCAGCUUUGUGAGUUCAGUACUUGAGAGGGCCAUGUAGGGAUCUGGGGCAAAAAUCUGUCUGGGGAUUAGACCUGCUUUGAGCAGGGGGUUGGACCAAGUGAUCUCCUGAGGUCCCUUCCAACCCUGAUAUUCUAUGAUUCAGAAGAUGAUCCAGGCAAAUAUGCAUUAAUCAGCUGUACAGUGAUCAUUUGUUGAAUGGUAGGGAUGCCAUUGUUUUUGAUGAUCAGAUUUGUUUCCUUGUAUGAGAAGGAAAGCCAAUGGGUGGUAAAGUUUUCCAAAAUAAUCUUAUUAAUUUUCAUGCAGUUUUUUGUUACACAGUAUUAUUGGUGAAAAGGAGAUAAGGUUUUCAGUCUGCUAAGCUCCAGUAGGAAAGGAAAUAAAGAUUACUCACUUAUCAGCAUGCACAUAAGUGCAAUGACAUAAUUACACAAAAAAUAUUUGCUCAGAGGUUGGAACAAAAACAACCACCUCCAAACUCUGAAUGACUUGAGACUACCUGAUAGUGACAGAGCUAUGUAACCACAUGGGUCUGUCACUGGGCUUUUCUUUGUUGCUGUAUUAGCUAUUUGAGUGUUGCUCCUAACCAGAUUAUCAACCACACACACAUAUGUCUAGCUUGAGUUAGGUGGUAUUUUAAACUUAGCUGGCUUGUCAGGGAAUGAGGGGUUGAAGCCUGACCAUUUUUGUAGGAUGACCGUGGCAGCCAGCACCUGGGCAUUUGGCCUGAGCGGUCCUCCACCAGAACGGAAAGGCGCACGACCACAGUGAUGUCUCUGCCAUUGAACCUAUUGGUUCCCACUCUGUUGUGGUAGAGAUCCCGGGUUCUGACAUCAGGAAUCUGGUCAGAUCCCUGUGUGUUAAGACAGAGUCUGAGCUCUGCUGAUGGCUUUGAAUCCAAAAGCCAAGCUGUGUUGAUGCAAAUUAUCUAACUGAUAAAGAAAGGUGAGAAAUGCCAGCACAAACAAAAAAAAAAAUCUGCAAAUAAAGAACAUACCUGGUCAGCAAACAAACUGCCUAAAUAAAAGGGCAUGGUAUAACAAGAUACCUUUAAUAGAUUUGACACUAAUGUUAUUGUUAAUAUUAAACAUUGAAAUAAAUUUAUUGUUAGUAAGUACCCCUGUAACAAUAUAUAGUGUGUAUGAUUUUUGGAACAAUCCUUUAAGGUAAUAUGGUAAUGAUGCUUCUCAGCUAUUACCUGUGAAUAAACUUAAAGCUUAACACAGCAGGAAAAACAUUACAAACUUGGUCUGCUAUAUAAGAGGAAAAACUGAGGUGCACCACCUCAUGGAUUUAAUGACUAAACAGUGGGAUAAUUUCCCCAUAACCCUUAAAAA